rnacentral:rRNA from 1 species
AUGAGGCCUGGCCGGCUUAUUCUGGUGCAGUCGGUAGUGGCGGCACGCCCCGUUCACCAUCUUAUGGUCACUGAGGCGCCGGAGUGGGUGCUUGAGGAUAUGAACAAAUGGAUGAGAUCAUUCUUCUGGGCGGGCAAAGACAAGUGUAACGGCGGACAAUGCCUAGUGGCUUGGGAUAAAAUCUGUCAGCCAAAAGCCGGCGGUGGUUUAGGUAUUAAAAACCUGAAGUGGCAAGCGAUGGCGCUUCGAGUCCGGUGGGAAUGACUAAAGAGGACUGAUGCUCAUAGACCAUGGCAGGGGCUACCAAUGACACCGGAUGAGGAAGCGAGAGAGGUGUUUGAUGCGUUGGUCAGUAUAAAAGUGGGUUCGGGCGACAAGGUACUUUUCUGGAAGGACAAGUGGAUCCAUGGAGUAGCGGCGGCAGAGAUUGCACCACUGAUCGUAGCCACUGUCCCGACGAGAACGGCGAACAGACGUACGGUGCACCAGGCACUUGAGGAUGGCUCUUGGGUGCAUGAUUUCAAGCAUAACACCUCAUUCACAGCCCUGAUGCAGUACAUGCACCUUUGCCAGGCUCUUGGUACGGUGGACAGAGACCCGUCACUGCCUGAUAGUUUCACCUGGCCGAGAUCACCGACAGGCACAUACACGGCUAAAUCAGUAUAUGACUACCUUUGCUCGAAGCUAGCUCGUUUGCCCACGGCUAAGUGCACCUGGAGAAGCUGGGCACCACUCAAAUGCAAGCUGUUCGUGUGGCUCGCCCUACAGUAUAGAAUCUGGACAUCCGACAGGAGGGCAUGA